AGCGUUUUGGACCCACCUGAUCCCAUUCCGAACUCAGAAGUGAAACGAAAUAGCGCCGAUGGUAGUGUGGGGUUUCCCCAUGUGAGAGUAGGAC
rnacentral:rRNA from 1 species